AAGAUUUGGCCCUUGGGCCAACCUCUCCAGCUGUGCGCUUUGGCUGCACGCUGUUGAAUCUCACACACCUGUGAACAUUCCGGUUGUGAGUUGCCUUGUGGCUGCUCACUUCCGCCUUUACAUCAAACCACAAAGUCUAGAAUGUAAAAACUAUAAAGUAA
rnacentral:misc_RNA from 1 species